UACAGAGGGUGCGAGCGUUGUCCGGAAUCACUGGGCGUAAAGGGCGCGUAGGCGGCUUUUCAAGCGUGCGGGGAAAGCUCGGGGCUUAACUCCGAGUCUGCCGUGCGAACUGGGAGGCUUGAGUCUGGUAGAGGUCGAUGGAAUUCCGGGUGUAGCGGUGGAAUGCGUAGAGAUCCGGAAGAACACCGGUGGCGAAGGCGGUCGACUGGGCCAGUACUGACGCUGAGGCGCGACAGCGUGGGGAGCAAACAGG
rnacentral:rRNA from 1 species